ensembl:lncRNA
GGCCGCACAGGCGCUUCGAAAAAGCGCUCAGACUGGCAGGGUUGGACCGAACCUCACUGAACACGUCGCACCCCGGGGCGCCGGGGAACGCAGUGGGUGCACCUCGGGCUGCAAUUGGCUGGAGCGUGCACGUGACGCCAAGCCCCCCCAACCCUCGCCGUCCUCCUACCCACGGAAACACCAACGACAGCCUCUUAACACCUUGCGCCAAGUACCCGCCACCCGGCGCAAAGGGACGGACGGAGCGCGUGGCGAGGAAGGCGCCUGCGCCUACCUGCAAGGCGGACGGUGGCCGGCCCACGCGCCGCGCGGCUCUGGGGUCGGGAAUCCUCGCACUGCCGGGCCGCGGGGCUAGUGAUUGGCUGUUAGGCCUGGUCACGUGCCGCUCGCGGUCCGCCCCUCCCCGCUAAUCACCUGGCACCGCGCUCGAAGCGGCGAUCUAAGUCGUUCGCACGCGGAGAGGGAGAGAAGUUGGAGGCCUUCUUCUCUUGCCUCCAUGGGGUUCUAUCCAUGAAGGAGGAACGAAAAGCUGGGUCCCAAAACUAAGUUUGAUCCCCGGUACAGAAGAAGGAAGAGGAGCAGGAGGAGGAGGAGGAAGAAAAAGAAGAGAAGGAGAGCCAGGGAAGAGGAAGGGGUAGGAAGAAAGAAGAGCAAGAGGAAACAAAAAGUCUUGCUAAAUAUAGUCCAGGCUCACCGUGGCUGCCUCACUGCUCACUGAAUGCUGGACUGCAGGCUUCACCACCACUCCCUGGUCUACACGAUUUUUAAUGUAUUGAUACAUUUAAUUCUCACCAUCAUCUUAUAUGAGUCUCACUAUGCAGCCCAGGCUGGCCUCAAACUCUGAAUCCUCCUGUCUCAGCCUCCCGAGUGCUGGAAUUACAGGUGUCCAACAGCAGAAGUGAAAUGAUUUUAACAAGGCCAUGCAUCUGUUAAAUGGUAGAGCACACACUUAUGUGUACCUGUAACAUAGGGAGCAAGGUGAUUUUCCAGGAGUAAAAGGAGAACUGGCUGGAGAAAAGAGAAAGGGGAAAUUGGGGAGGUGAGAAUAUGAAAAGUUUAGAAUAGCCAGAGUGAAAACUAUGCUUCCGAGCAUCUCCUGUCUGCACCUGUGAUCCAGCCUCUCAACUUGAGACCCACCAUCGGAUUCCUGCACCUACUCCUUCAGCCUUCUCUGGCUGCUAAAGAUGAUUCCACCCUUCCAUUUGGAUUCUGGGGUCUGGGCCUACCCUUGGGGCAGGAUUCUCUUGGGGGAGCUGAAGGGGCAGAGAAUGAUUCUGGCUGUCAGAGACAGGACCUGACAUGACCCACAAAUCACGGCAUCCUUGCUGAACCUUUUAAAAGUGUAUGCUUAUUAAAAAAAAAAAAAGUGUGUACUUAUGAUGGCCUUAGAACUGGAUUUCAGUAGACCCUGUGAUUUGUAGAAUAUUGUCUUAUUCAAAGUGACUUAAAAAGGAACAAGAGGGCUGGGAUUUAGCUCAGUGGUUCUGGAGCCUGCCUCACAAUUGCAAGGACCAGAGUUCGAUCCCUGGUACCAAAAAGAAAAAAAAAAAAAGAAACAAGAGACCCUGGAAUCUAGCUCAGUGGUGCCACCACACAAGGACCCAGGUUCGAUCCCUGGUACAAAAAAAGGAACAAGAGAGCUUCUCUCCCCUUCUCCCCCUCUCCCCCUCUCCCC